GAUGAACGCUGGCGGCGUGCCUAAUACAUGCAAGUCGAGCGAACAGAUAAGGAGCUUGCUCCUUUGACGUUAGCGGCGGACGGGUGAGUAACACGUGGGUAACCUACCUAUAAGACUGGAAUAACUCCGGGAAACCGGGGCUAAUGCCGGAUAACAUUUAGAACCGCAUGGUUCUAAAGUGAAAGAUGGUUUUACUAUCACUUAUAGAUGGACCCGCGCCGUAUUAGCUAGUUGGUAAGGUAACGGCUUACCAAGGCAACGAUACGUAGCCGACCUGAGAGGGUGAUCGGCCACACUGGAACUGAGACACGGUCCAGACUCCUACGGGAGGCAGCAGUAGGGAAUCUUCCGCAGUGGGCGAAAGCCUGACGGAGCAACGCCGCGUGAGUGAUGAAGGUCUUCGGAUCGUAAAACUCUGUUAUUAGGGAAGAACAAAUGUGUAAGUAACUGUGCACGUCUUGACGGUACCUAAUCAGAAAGCCACGGCUAACUACGUG
rnacentral:rRNA from 1 species